rnacentral:rRNA from 1 species
CCUACGGGAGGCAGCAGUGAGGAAUAUUGGUCAAUGGACGAGAGUCUGAACCAGCCAAGUAGCGUGAAGGAUGACUGCCCUAUGGGUUGUAAACUUCUUUUAUAAAGGAAUAAAACGAGGCACGUGUGCCUUUUUGCAUGUACUUUAUGAAUAAGGAUCGGCUAACUCCGUGCCAGCAGCCGCGGUAAUACGGAGGAUCCGAGCGUUAUCCGGAUUUAUUGGGUUUAAAGGGAGCGUAGAUGGGUUGUUAAGUCAGUUGUGAAAGUUUGCGGCUCAACCGUAAAAUUGCAGUUGAUACUGGCAGUCUUGAGUACAGUUGAGGUAGGCGGAAUUCGUGGUGUAGCGGUGAAAUGCUUAGAUAUCACGAAGAACCCCGAUUGCGAAGGCAGCUUACCAAACUGUGACUGACAUUGAUGCUCGAAAGUGUGGGUAUCAAACAGGAUUAGAUACCCGUGUAGUC